GUAAUAGCAUUUCUUUUCUAUAGAGCCAUGAAGUCAAUGUUUCACAGAGCCCCGGGGACCUGUUCUGCCCUCCCUGCCACCAGCACAUUCCGGUCCCACGCUGGAAUCCAAGGGAAGGAGCUCAUCUCCGUCAGAUCUGGUGGAGUCUGCACCCAGAGAAGGGAGGGGGGGAGCCAGCUAAUUAGUGGAUCAGAGUUUUAAUAAGUUUUGUAAAAGGAUUAGACACAUCUGUGCAUGUGAACAGAAUGUGCAGAGACAGUCUCUAGGCUGGAUUAUCGUGGCUGCCAAUCCCUGUGCUCUGGGGUAAAAGCUGAUCCUUGGCAAGGGUCAGGGAUAAAUGUCCCUGCCUGGCAGAGCAUGUCCAUGAGGAGGAUUCAAAUUCCUCCUGGGAAGCCGUGGCAGAGCUACAAUCCCAGAGGAGCUGCCGGGCAUCACCUCGUUAUCACUUUGUGGUGACAGUGAUAACUCACAGCCAAAACACAAACCACCUCCCAAGGGACGAUCUGCAGCCAUUCCCCAGCAGGAUUGACCUCCCUCCAUCCCACAAACCUGCCCCUCCACCAAAGAGGAAACAGGACAUGAAAAGCCACCUGACUCCAGAAGACAUCCAGGUUGUUCACUUGGACAACAUGAAACACGAGGAGGAGAUCCAGAAGUUCCCUCUGCAGACUCCCUACUACGACAUGGCAGGCCCUGAGCCCUCUCCCUACAGUGACAAACUGGUAAGGGGCACAGGGUGACAGUGGCACUGCCUGGCACCUCAGCCCAGCCUCACCUGGCACACAGGACCUAAAAAAGCAAGUUUUUUAGUCUUUAUAGUCUGGGAUUAUCCCAUCCUGGAGGAAAGCAGCCUCCACACUCUGAUCUCACCCUAAUUCAGCUGUCUGUUGGCUCCAGAGCUGGGCCUUUAUGGGUAGAAU